rnacentral:rRNA from 1 species
UUUAUGGAGAGUUUGAUCCUGGCUCAGGAUGAACGCUGGCGGCGUGCCUAAUACAUGCAAGUCGAGCGAACGGACGAGAAGCUUGCUUCUCUGAUGUUAGCGGCGGACGGGUGAGUAACACGUGGAUAACCUACCUAUAAGACUGGGAUAACUUCGGGAAACCGGAGCUAAUACCGGAUAAUAUUUUGAACCGCAUGGUUCAAAAGUGAAAGACGGUCUUGCUGUCACUUAUAGAUGGAUCCGCGCUGCAUUAGCUAGUUGGUAAGGUACGGCUUACCAAGGCAACGAUGCAUAGCCGACCUGAGAGGGUGAUCGGCCACACUGGAACUGAGACACGGUCCAGACUCCUACGGGAGGCAGCAGUAGGGAAUCUUCCGCAAUGGGCGAAAGCCUGACGGAGCAACGCCGCGUGAGUGAUGAAGGUCUUCGGAUCGUAAAACUCUGUUAUUAGGGAAGAACAUAUGUGUAAGUAACUGUGCACAUCUUGACGGUACCUAAUCAGAAAGCCACGGCUAACUACGUGCCAGCAGCCGCGGUAAUACGUAGGUGGCAAGCGUUAUCCGGAAUUAUUGGGCGUAAAGCGCGCGUAGGCGGUUUUUUAAGUCUGAUGUGAAAGCCCACGGCUCAACCGUGGAGGGUCAUUGGAAACUGGAAAACUUGAGUGCAGAAGAGGAAAGUGGAAUUCCAUGUGUAGCGGUGAAAUGCGCAGAGAUAUGGAGGAACACCAGUGGCGAAGGCGACUUUCUGGUCUGUAACUGACGCUGAUGUGCGAAAGCGUGGGGAUCAAACAGGAUUAGAUACCCUGGUAGUCCACGCCGUAAACGAUGAGUGCUAAGUGUUAGGGGUUUCCGCCCCUUAGUGCUGCAGCUAACGCAUUAAGCACUCCGCCUGGGGAGUACGACCGCAAGGUUGAAACUCAAAGGAAUUGACGGGGACCCGCACAAGCGGUGGAGCAUGUGGUUUAAUUCGAAGCAACGCGAAGAACCUUACCAAAUCUUGACAUCCUUUGACAACUCUAGAGAUAGAGCCUUCCCCUUCGGGGGACAAAGUGACAGGUGGUGCAUGGUUGUCGUCAGCUCGUGUCGUGAGAUGUUGGGUUAAGUCCCGCAACGAGCGCAACCCUUAAGCUUAGUUGCCAUCAUUAAGUUGGGCACUCUAAGUUGACUGCCGGUGACAAACCGGAGGAAGGUGGGGAUGACGUCAAAUCAUCAUGCCCCUUAUGAUUUGGGCUACACACGUGCUACAAUGGACAAUACAAAGGGUAGCGAAACCGCGAGGUCAAGCAAAUCCCAUAAAGUUGUUCUCAGUUCGGAUUGUAGUCUGCAACUCGACUACAUGAAGCUGGAAUCGCUAGUAAUCGUAGAUCAGCAUGCUACGGUGAAUACGUUCCCGGGUCUUGUACACACCGCCCGUCACACCACGAGAGUUUGUAACACCCGAAGCCGGUGGAGUAACCUUUUAGGAGCUAGCCGUCGAAGGUGGGACAAAUGAUUGGGGUGAAGUCGUAACAAGGUAGCCGUAUCGGAAGGUGCGGCUGGAUCACCUCCUUUCU